rnacentral:rRNA from 1 species
GUGUAACAACUCACCUGCCGAAUGCAUCAGCCCUGAAAAUGGAUGGCGCUCAAGCGCGCGGCCGAUACACCGCCGCCGGGGCGGUGCCUAGGCCCCGGCGAGUAGGAGGGCGUCGUGCUCGCGCCGAAGCCUCGGGCGCAAGCCUGGGUGGAGCGGGCUCGAGUGCAGAUCUUGGUGGGAGUAGCGUGAAUUCAAGCGAGAACCUUGAGGACUGGAGUGGAGAAGGGUUCCACGCGAACUGCGAUUGGACGUGGGUGAGUCGAUCCUAAGAGAUGGGGUAACCCCGUGAGAGGGCGUCAAGCACGCUGUCCAUCGAAAGGGAAGCGGGUUAACAUUCCCGCACCGGGAAGCGGGGUGCGCGCGGCAACGCAAGCGAACCCGGGGACGCCGGCGGGGGCGCUGGGGAGAGUUCUCUUUUCUACUUAACAGCCCGGCCGGACCGUGGAAUCGGGUUGUCCGGAGAAGCGGCGGCCUGACUGGAAGAGCGGCGCCCUCGUGCGCCGCCCGGCCCGCCCCCGACGGCCCAUGAAAACCCGGGGGAGGAGUCUGACCCUCGCGCCCGGUCGUACCCAGAACCGCAUCAGGUCUCCAAGGUGA